rnacentral:rRNA from 1 species
CACGUAGGGCGCGAGCGUUGUCCGGAAUUAUUGGGUGUAAAGAGCUCGUAGGCGGCCUGUUGCGUCCGCUGUGAAAGCCCGGGGCUUAACCCCGGGUCGGCAGUGGAUACGGGCAGGCUAGAGGUAGGUAGGGGAGAAUGGAAUUCCCGGUGUAGCGGUGAAAUGCGCAGAUAUCGGGAGGAACACCGGUGGCGAAGGCGGUUCUCUGGGCCUUACCUGACGCUGAGGAGCGAAAGCGUGGGGAGCGAACAGG